AAUUUUAAAAACAAAAUCACUCGUAUAUACUCAGAAAUAAGGUCUGAGAGUUUCUACCGAGAUACCGUAAAAAUCUUGACUAUGAGUGAAAUUAUUAUACAU
rfam:Terrisporobacter sp. 08-306576 Contig161, whole genome shotgun sequence.